UCUAAUUUCCUCAUCAUCCAUUUCUCUCUUCAAAAAAUGGCAGCCCUUAUCACCAAAAAAAACCUACUAACCCUUCUUCUAUUGGGACUCCUAGCUGGGUCCUUGCCAAGUUACACAAAGGCACAAAAUUGUGGUUGUGCUUCAGACCAAUGUUGUAGCCAAUGGGGCUAUUGUGGCACUGGCGAUGACUAUUGUGGCACAGGGUGUCAACAAGGUCCUUGCAAUGCUUCACCACCACCUAAUGAUGUUUCAGUGGCUGAUAUUGUGACACAAGAAUUCUUCAAUGGGAUAAUUGAUCAGGCUGAUGCUAGUUGUGCUGGAAAGAACUUCUAUACCCGAGCAGCUUUUCUUGAAGCUCUCACUGCAUUUGAUAACUUUGGUAGGAUUGGAUCAGUUGAUGAUUCUAAACGUGAGAUUGCAGCUUUCUUUGGCAAUGUUGCACAUGAAACUGGACUUUUUUGCUACAUAGAGGAGAUAGAUGGUGCCUCUAAGGACUACUGUGAUGAGACCAACACACAAUAUCCAUGCAACCCCAACAAGGGUUACUAUGGUCGUGGACCAAUCCAACUAUCAUGGAAUUUCAAUUACGGACCAGCAGGAAACAGCAUUGGGUUCGAUGGAUUGAACUCUCCUGAAACCGUUGCAAAUGAUCCAGUUAUUGCGUUUAAGACUGGCUUGUGGUAUUGGAUGAGGUCUGUUAGGCCAGUCGUAAGUCAAGGGUUCGGAGCAACGAUUCGAGCCAUUAAUGGUGCCCUUGAAUGUGAUGGUGGAAACCCUGCAACAGUUCAAAAACGUGUUGAGUAUUACACAGAAUAUUGUAACCAACUUGGUGUUUCUCCUGGUGAUAAUCUCACAUGCUAUAAACACUUGAGUAACCUUUCAUCAUAUACUUUGUCCCGAAAUGUAAUGGCUCAAGAGUGUGGCUGUGACUCUGCCUGUGUUGUAGCCAAUAUGGCUAUUGUGGCACCAGUGACGCUUACUGUGGGGCUUGAUGCCAAGAGGGCCCCUGUUAUACUACUAAUGGUGUUUCGGUACCUGAUAUUGUGACUGACGAAUUCUUUAAUGGGAUUCUUGACCAAGCAGACCCAAAUUGUGCAGGAAAAUACUUCUACUCGCGAGAGGCCUUUCUUGAAGCUCUUAACUCGUAUUCUGAGUUUGGUGGAGACAACUUAGUUGAUGAUUCCAGGCAUGAAAUUGCAGCAUUCUUUGCUAAUGUUGCACAUGAGAUUGGACAACUUUGCUAUAUAGAGGAAAUCAAUGGUGCCUCACAAGACUACUGUGAUUGGAGCAACUCACAGUAUCCUUGCAACCCUAAUGAAAAAUACUAUGGCCGUGGACCACUUCAGCCAAGUUGGAAUUAUAAUAUUUAUAGGGCGGCAGGUAAUGACAUUGGAUUCGAUGGAAUAAACCAACCUGAUACGGUGGCCACAGAUCCAGUUAUUUCAUUCAAGACUGCAUUGUGGUUUUGGAUGAACAAUGUUCACUCAGUCUUAGGCCAAGGGUUUGGGGCAACGAUUAAUGCCAUCAAUGGUGACAUUGAAUGUAGUGAAAAUUUUGACUCUGUCCAACACCGAGUUGAUUAUUACACCGCAUAUUGUAACCAACUUGGUGUUGAUCCGGGUGAUAAUCUCACAUGCUAG